UAGAAUAUAGGGCUCAAGAAACUCAGCAGCUAAAAAUAUCAAAUCUUCAGUCAUUAGCUGACAGUGACGAAGGUAGUUUCCCCUUCUCAUCUCUAGCGGUCUCUUCUCCGCCUUGAAUUUUCAUCGCACUACUAAUGAUUUCCGCGACUUCCUUCACAGCUACUCUUUCCACCCGGACGCCGUAUAAAUCCCCAAAAUUGACGCGGAAAUCCUUAUCUUCUAGCUCCGGUUUAGGGCUUUUAUCUGCCAGUUCCAAGUCCUUUAUGGCACUUAGAGCCGAUAAUAAUGGUAGUAAUGGCGGCGGGUCAGCUCUCCGNCACUCCUACUGUUGAGCCUCUGAUUUCUCUUGAUUUUGAGACCUCUGUCUUCAAGAAGGAGAAGAUCUCCCUCGCUGGUCAUGACGAGUACAUUGUGAGAGGAGGAAGGGAUUUGUUCCACUUGCUGCCAGAUGCAUUCAAGGGAAUCAAGCAGAUUGGCGUUAUUGGUUGGGGUUCCCAGGGUCCUGCCCAAGCUCAGAAUUUAAGGGAUUCUCUAGCAGACGCCAAGUCUGAUAUUGUAGUGAAGAUUGGACUUAGGAAGGGAUCUCAUUCAUUCAAUGAAGCUCGUGCAGCUGGUUUUACUGAAGAGAAUGGGACUCUAGGCGAUAUAUGGGAAACUAUUUCAGGCAGUGACCUUGUCAUGUUACUGAUAUCUGAUGCUGCACAGGCUGAUAACUAUGAGAAAAUUUUAUCCCAUAUGAAGCCAAACAGCAUACUUGGGCUUUCCCAUGGAUUUCUUCUUGGACAUUUGCAGUCAAUGGGACUUGACUUUCCAAAAAACAUUAGUGUGAUUGCUGUGUGUCCCAAGGGAAUGGGUCCAUCUGUAAGGAGACUCUAUGUUCAAGGCAAAGAAAUCAAUGGUGCUGGAAUUAA
rnacentral:misc_RNA from 1 species